AAUAUUCUAGUACCACCAUUAUUUUCGAUGGGGUGACGGAGUAGUGAAAGUACCGCGUACUGACGGAAUAGUACGUUGAAGCGUGUAGGUAUAAGGACUGUAGGCAAAUCCGCAGACCUUGCUGAACGUGAUAGUACCACAAAUCUUCGGAUGCGUGGAUAGUGUACCUAAUCAGACUUCCGAGAAAAACCUCUAAGGUUAGGAUAAUGGUGCCCGUACCGUAAACCGACACAGGUAGUCAAGGAGAGAAUCCUGAGGUGCUCGAGUGAUUCAUGGUUAAGGAACUAGGCAAAAUAGCCCUGUAACUUCGGGAGAAGGG
rnacentral:rRNA from 1 species